AAUGAGUUGGCAGAAUUUAAUGCAGUAAAUUUAGAAUUUACUUAUACAAUUAAGAUUGUACUUAUUA
rnacentral:tRNA from 1 species